ACGGAAGGCAGCAGUGGGGAAUAUUGCACAAUGGGGGAAACCCUGAUGCAGCGACGCCGCGUGAGUGAAGAAGUAUUUCGGUAUGUAAAGCUCUAUCAGCAGGGAAGAAAAUGACGGUACCUGACUAAGAAGCCCCGGCUAACUACGUGCCAGCAGCCGCGGUAAUACGUAGGGGGCAAGCGUUAUCCGGAUUUACUGGGUGUAAAGGGAGCGUAGACGGUCUGGCAAGUCUGAUGCGAAAGGCAGGGGCUCAACUCCUGGACUGCAUUGGAAACUGUCAGUCUUGAGUGUCGGAGAGGUAAGCGGAAUUCCUAGUGUAGCGGUGAAAUGCGUAGAUAUUAGGAGGAACACCAGUGGCGAAGGCGGCUUACUGGACGAUAACUGACGUUGAGGCUCGAAAGCGUGGGGAGCAAACAGGAUUAGAUACCCUGGUA
rnacentral:rRNA from 1 species